CCGAAAAGGCCGCCGGAGCACCCCCAUCGGACCGAGGGGAAGAGUCAGCGGUGCCAGGAGGUUUUGAUCAGGGGACUCAGCACCCCAGCUCGUAGGUUGUGAUCCAGAUCUGUAUUUGAGUCUGUCUACAAUUUCUAGUUGCAGGAUGCAUAGAUUUGGAUGGGAUGGGCGCAG